UACGUAGGGUGCAAGCGUUGUCCGGAAUUAUUGGGCGUAAAGGGUGCGUAGGCGGCGGGGCAAGUCAGGUGUGAAAUCUCGGGGCUCAACCCCGAAACUGCACUUGAUACUGCCUUGCUUGAGUACUGGAGAGGAGACUGGAAUUUACGGUGUAGCAGUGAAAUGCGUAGAUAUCGUAAGGAAGACCAGUGGCGAAGGCGAGUCUCUGGACAGUUACUGACGCUGAGGCACGAAGGCCAGGGGAGCAAACGGG
rnacentral:rRNA from 1 species